rnacentral:rRNA from 1 species
ACGGAAGGUCCAGGCGUUAUCCGGAUUUAUUGGGUUUAAAGGGAGCGUAGGCUGCCCCUCAAGCGUGUUGUGAAAUGUACCGGCUCAACCGGUGAAUUGCAGCGCGAACUGUGGGGCUUGAGUGUGCGGAAAGUAGGCGGAAUUCAUGGUGUAGCGGUGAAAUGCUUAGAUAUCAUGAAGAACUCCGAUUGCGAAGGCAGCUUACUGCAGCACAACUGACGCUGAGGCUCGAAAGUGCGGGUAUCGAACAG